rnacentral:rRNA from 1 species
AGAACGAACGCUGGCGGCAGGCUUAACACAUGCAAGUCGAGCGAGAACUUCGGUUCUAGCGGCGGACGGGUGAGUAACGCGUGGGAACGUGCCCUUUGGUUCGGAAUAGCCCUGGGAAACUGGGAGUAAUGCCGAAUAAGCUCUUCAGGAGUGGAUUCUGGGGAGGAAAGAUUUAUCGCCAAAGGAUCGGCCCGCGUUGGAUUAGGUAGUUGGUGGGGUAAUGGCCUACCAAGCCGACGAUCCAUAGCUGGUUUGAGAGGAUGAUCAGCCACACUGGGACUGAGACACGGCCCAGACUCCUACGGGAGGCAGCAGUGGGAAUCUUGCACAAUGGGCGAAAGCCUGAUGCAGCAACGCCGCGUGCGGGAAGAAGGCCCUCGGGUUGUAAACCGCUUUCAGAAGGAACGAAACUGACGGUACUUUCAGAAGAAGGUGCGGCCAACUACGUGCCAGCAGCCGC